rnacentral:rRNA from 1 species
UAGACACUCGACGAUGGGUAUUAAAAUUAUAUUAAAAGAAAUUAAUAUUUUUACAGCAAACGCGUUAAAUACUCUACCUGAAAAANUUUACCAGGUCUUGAUCGAUAUUCGACAAUAAUUCAUUAUUGGUGUUGUUAAAUUUUUACUUUUAACAUUCGAUAUCCACAGGGU